ensembl:snoRNA
UCGGAAUGAAAAUGGCCCCAGGUGAACCAGUGAUCUGGGGUCAGACAACUGGGCCUAGAGUACUGUGGUGCAUUAAGCUUAUUACGUGCCUCUCCUGGUGGCUGCGUGAUGAAACCCAUGUACCAACACGC